rnacentral:rRNA from 1 species
CAGGAUGAACGCUAGCGACAGGCUAACACAUGCAAGUCGAGGGGCAGCAUAAAAGUAGCAAUACUUGGUGGCGACCGGCGCACGGGUGAGUAACGCGUAUGCAACCUACCUAUCAGAGGGGAAUAACCCGGCGAAAGUCGGACUAAUACCGCAUAAAACAGGGGCACCGCAUGGUGAUAUUUGUUAAAGAAAUUCGCUGAUAGAUGGGCAUGCGUUCCAUUAGGUAGUUGGUGAGGUAACGGCUCACCAAGCCGACGAUGGAUAGGGGAACUGAGAGGUUGGUCCCCCACACUGGUACUGAGACACGGACCAGACUCCUACGGGAGGCAGCAGUGAGGAAUAUUGGUCAAUGGGCGAGAGCCUGAACCAGCCAAGUCGCGUGAAGGAAGAAGGAUCUAUGGUUCGUAAACUUCUUUUGCAGGGGAAUAAAGUGCAGGACGUGUCCUGUUUUGUAUGUACCCUGAGAAUAAGGAUCGGCUAACUCCGUGCCAGCCGCCGC